rnacentral:rRNA from 1 species
GACGAACGCUGGCGGCGUGCUUAACACAUGCCAGUCGAACGGAAAGGCCCUGCUUUUGUGGGGUGCUCGAGUGGCGAACGGGUGAGUAACACGUGAGUAACCUGCCCUUGACUUUGGGAUAACUUCAGGAAACUGGGGCUAAUCCCGGAUAGGAGCUCCUGCUGCAUGGUGGGGGUUGGAACGUUUCGGCGGUUGGGGAUGGACUCGCGGGUUAUCAGCUUGUUGGUGGGGUAGUGGCUUACCCAGGCUUUGACGGGUAGCCGGCCUGGGAGGGUGACCGGCCACAUUGGGACUGAGAUACGGCCCAGACUCCUACGGGAGGCAGCAGUGGGGAAUAUUGCACAAUGGGCGGAAGCCUGAUGCAGCAACGCCGCGUGCGGGAUGACGGCCUUCGGGUUGUAAACCGCUUUCGCCUGUGACGAAGCGUGAGUGACGGUAAUGGGUAAAGAAGCACCGGCUAACUACGUG